rnacentral:lncRNA from 1 species
CAUUUUUUUUCCAUCAAAAUAACGCCAUAAAAAUAGGUAAAACCGACACGGCGCAGAGCAUUACCGAUCCCUUCAAAGACGGUGGCGCCGCCGCGCCCGGUGGUGGAGUGUGGUAAUAGAAAGGAAAAUAAGGUACAAUAGGAUUUGGUGGUGGCGGCGUUCCAUAGUUCCCACCACUACCACUACCACUACCACCAGUUGGCGGUGGAUAAUAUAAACCGCCACCUCCACCUCCUCCGGUGGACGCAGGUGGCGGUGGUGAUGAGUAGUAAUACACUGAAGGCGGCGGUGGAGAGUAGUAAGUUGACCCACUACCACCACCGGAGCUGGGUGGUGAAGGAGGAGGAGGACAGUUGUUGGUGGAAGCAGGUGGUGGUGACGGUGGUGGUGGAGAAGGUGGCGGCGGCGAAGAAACUUGACCACAAGGCGUGCACUUCACUUCAUCUUUGGUAACAGUUGUAAGAUUCUUG